GCGGUACUCUGACCGUGCAAAGGUAGCAUAAUCAUUUGCCUUAUAAUUGAAGGCUAGUAUGAAUGGUUUGACGAGAAUUAAGCUGUCUCUCCCCAAAUAAAUAUAAUUUUAUUAAUAGGUGAAGAAGCCUAUAUUUAAUUGAAAGACAAGAAGACCCUAUCGAGCUUUAAAAAAUUUAGUAGGUUUAUUCUAUAUUUAUAAAAAAAUAAGAUUACUAAAAAUUUUGGUUGGGGCGACUGAGGAACAAAAGAAGCUUCCUUUAUUACUAGUAAAACUAACGAGUAUUGAUCCAAUAAAUUUGAUUAAAGGAAUUAGUUACCGUAGGGAUAACAGCAUAAUCCCCUUUGAGAGCUCUCAUCGAAAAGGGGGUUUGUGACCUCGAUGUUGGACCAGAAUACCCAGAAGAUGCAGCUGUCUUCAAUGGUUGGUCUGUUCGACCAUUAAAAUUCU
rnacentral:rRNA from 1 species